UAGAAAAUUUGGAACAUUGGACACAUUCAGCGCUUUUCGAUAUGAAAAUUAUUUAAGAAAAGUAAAACGGUUUAUUAGAAAAGCUGAACGUCCAUUGCAACAAAUCCACAAUCGUUUAACAGAAUUGAAACAUUUACUAUUCAAAGAAGAAUGUCGAAAAAUAGGUGUAUAUGGAAUACACAAUGUAGGACCUAUUUUACCCGGGAUAAAUAGUCCUCAAUAUUCAAUAUUUAUAACAGCAGAUUUUACUUUAUCUAUUCACAAACCAAAUAACUGUUGUGGAUUAAAUAAUGGCUCAAUUGUAGCAAUAAAGAAUAUUGCUACAACGACCUCUAAUAAACUUUGUAUUAUUGGUCGAGAAUUCCUUAAUUUGAGUGACUUCUAUACGGAACCGUGCAAUUCCUCUUUGUUGGGAAUAUAUAAAUCUAACGAAUAUGGAUAUUUAUCAGUUUGGCCUAUAACGUUUGUUACGACGAAAUAUGUGAAAUUUGACCUUUGCAAUUCUGCAUUUAUACUUUUACCAUUGUUACAUACAGAAAAGAUGUAAUUUUGUUCUUCAUACAUCUUGUUAAAUUUGAAGAUGGAUUACAAGUGAUACCAGAUAACUGGAUACAAAAGGAAAAAAAUGAAUGUUUAUAUCCAAAUUAUAAAACAGAUAAAGAUAUAAAUGCAGCGAUUAGAACACGACAAACACCUCAAGAUAAUUGGUUAUUAUAUCCAAUUAAACGAAUCUUUGGUACAUAUGAGUCUUACAAUGAAGCACGCAAUAAACUAAAAAAGGCUGAGAUAGAUUCUGAUAUUACGGAUACUGACAAAGCACAAAGAAAAAUUAAAGCCAGGAAAGUGAUUAGUUCCGAUGAUGAUAUUAACGAUGAUGAUGAUGAUGAUGAUGAUGAUCAUGAAAACAAUUGUCAAACUCGUUUACCAUCAUAUCCAAAAGCGUCUAAGGUUUAUAGGAAUACCAAACAUGUAGAUUCAGGUACCAAAAAGAACAUAGUAAACACUAUAUGUCAAAUAAUCGAUCAUCACUAAAUGCUUCGACUUCUCAUAAAUCAAUGUUUGCAAAACAAGCAAAACACGAUGAUAUCGAUACAUGUAAUCGAACAAUAAUGAAUGAUAUUGCCAGCAAUCGUAUUAUUCCUGCAGAAAGUUCUGCCAUCAUGCGAGAAGAUUAUGUGGAAUUGAAAAAUAAAGAAUACAUUGCAAUUAAAAAUUAUUUUCAACGUAUUGAGAGAAUGUUGAUAGAAAUAAAAUUUGACAUUAAUUGUCUAACUGAACAAUAUCAACAUAUAAAUAAUAAAUGUUUCUCAAAUGAGGCACAAGAACGUCAUAAUUCUACACCAACUGAUGAAUUAAGUGAGUUAUCCUUCCCUCUGAAAACUAUAGAAGAAGUCGAGUCACUAGAACGCAUUCUUACUUCAAACGGAGUAGGAAUAAAAGAGCAUAUGUUUAACAUAUUAGCAAUGAUUGGUGGGACUAGCUAUGAAGAAAUGUCAAAAAGGAUGCUUCUUUAUGUUUUUACGAAUGAAGUAGCUAGUAUGUACAGUUAGGUAGGAGGUAAAGGAAAACGGAAACUUCAUAAUUUCGAAAUAAUGAAAUUAAUGUUUAAAGUUGUCAGGAAGACAUUCCCUAAUGUUACAGAAAAGAAUUUUGAAAUUAAAUGCAAAGAUUGGUUCCGACACGCGAAACAAAG
rnacentral:misc_RNA from 1 species